AGAGUUUGAUCAUGGCUCAGAUUGAACGCUGGCGGCGUGCUUAACACAUGCAAGUCGUACGCGAAAGGGACUUCGGUCCCGAGUAAAGUGGCGCACGGGUGAGUAACACGUGGAUAAUCUGCCUCUAUGAUGGGGAUAACAGUUGGAAACGACUGCUAAUACCGAAUACGCUCAUAAUGAACUUUGUGAGGAAAGGUGGCCUCUGCUUGCAAGCUAUCGCAUAGAGAUGAGUCCGCGUCCAUUAGCUAGUUGGUGGGGUAACGGCCUACCAAGGCAACGAUGGGUAGCCGAUCUGAGAGGAUGAUCGGCCACACUGGAACUGAAACNCGGUCCAGACUCCUACGGGAGGCA
rnacentral:rRNA from 1 species